CCAGGCCUCCAAAGGGCUAUGUUGCAAAACAUCUGGGACUCAAUUGUGAACUCAGUCGACAAGUCUAUUUCAGGCUCUGCCUGAUUAAAGGAAAGUGCAUGAGCUUUCUGCUAGUGAAACACUUUUGGUCAUGAAAUACGGGAACAUUCAUUGUAUGUAUGAUGGCACUAUCCAUUGCUAAGUGUUGCUCUCAAAAGAUUAUAAGCAACCCUUGUGAAUUACGAUAGAACUAUAAACAGUCGAUCAGAGGAUGAUUAGACGGUGCCCAUGUGUAAGUUGCAUGCUUGUACGGUUAAGCCUCGGCUUUUCACUGCAGUCUGGGAUUCUUUAGGAUUAACAUAUGAUGUAUCCUUUGAGCUAAGUCAAUUUCAUAGGUUGAAACUCAGGUGGUAUGUGGUCUCAGUAACUACAACUCCUCGCAAGGUCUAUAAAGCUGUUGAUGCAUGUAAGAAUGUUCUGAGAGGUUUACAUGACAGCAAGAUUGCCUAAAGGGAGCUGGAUCGGGUUAGUAUUUUCCCUUUGCUCACCUCACCUUAUCCCAAUUUUCUUGCAAUACUACCACAAUCUUUUGUUUAAGGGGCCAAUUGGAGCCUUUUAAAAUCAACUAGAUUCCUUUUGAA